CCUCUCUGUGCUCCCGUUGGGGAC
rnacentral:miRNA from 1 species